AACGAACGCUGGCGGCGUGCCUAACACAUGCAAGUCGAGCGAGAAAGCCCGCAAGGGUGAGUACAGCGGCGCACGGGUGAGUAACACGUGGGUAAUCUGCCCUGGAGCCCGGAAUAACUCCCCGAAAGGGGUGCUAAUGCCGGAUGAGACCACGGGGACCUCGGUCCCUGAGGGAAAAGGUGGCCUCUGCAUGCAAGCUAUCACUCCAGGAUGAGCCCGCGGCCCAUCAGCUUGUUGGCGGGGUAACGGCCCACCAAGGCUACGACGGGUAGCUGGUCUGAGAGGACGAUCAGCCACACUGGAACUGAGACACGGUCCAGACUCCUACGGGAGGCAGCAGUGGGGAAUCUUGCGCAAUGGGCGAAAGCCUGACGCAGCAACGCCGCGUGUGUGAUGAAGGUCUUCGGAUCGUAAAGCACUGUCGCGAGGGACGAAUAAGUCCUCGGCUAACAUCCGGGGAUGAUGACGGUACCUCGAAAGGAAGCACCGGCUAACUCUGUGCCAGCCGCCGCCGUAAGAC
rnacentral:rRNA from 1 species